rnacentral:snoRNA from 1 species
CUUCAUGAUGACUUGCUGGGAGUGUCAUCUCUGUCUCUGUGGCCCUUGCUGUCCUGUAUCUGUGGUAUAAUCUCAAGGUUCAAAGAAACUUCCAAAAGAUAACCUGGAGGCAUUAGUCUAAGAAGG